GAGGAAUAUUGGUCAAUGGGCGCAAGCCUGAACCAGCCAAGUAGCGUGCAGGAAGACGGCCCUAUGGGUUGUAAACUGCUUUUAUACGAGAAUAAUUUGAUGCACGUGUGCGUUAUUGCAUGUAUCGUAUGAAUAAGGACCGGCUAAUUCCGUGCCAGCAGCCGCGGUAAUACGGAAGGUCCAGGCGUUAUCCGGAUUUAUUGGGUUUAAAGGGAGUGUAGGCGGUUUGUUAAGCGUGUUGUGAAAUUUAGAUGCUCAACAUUUAACUUGCAGCGCGAACUGGCGAACUUGAGUGCACACAACGUAUGCGGAAUUCAUGGUGUAGCGGUGAAAUGCUUAGAUAUCAUGAAGAACUCCGAUUGCGAAGGCAGCAUACGGGAGUGUAACUGACGUUUAAGCUCGAAGGUGCGGGUAUCGAACAGGAUUAGAUACCCUGGUAGUCCGCACAGUAAACGAUGGAUGCCCGCUGUUAGCGCCUGGCGUUAGCGGCUAAGCGAAAGCAUUAAGCAUCCCACCUGGGGAGUACGCCGGCAACGGUG
rnacentral:rRNA from 1 species